GGUGCUUUCCGUUAGGUGAGGCUCCUAUACGAACAAUGCUGCUGCUCAGAAACAUCGAGAGAUGCCAAUUGAGUCAACUGCGUCUGCCCAUUAAGGCUUACGCUAAUGCAGCUGAAGCUCGCUUCUAGGCGUAUAGUGCUAAAACUAAACGAUUGGGAUGCUUU
rfam:Lactobacillus casei ATCC 334, complete genome.